UACGUAGGUGACAAGCGUUUGUCCGGAUUUACUGGGCGUAAAGAGCGCGCAGGCGGUCGAUCAAGUCGAGUGUGAAAGCCCCCGGCUCAACUGGGGAGGGUCAUUCGAAACUGGUCGACUCGAAGGCAGGAGAGGGUAGUGGAAUUCCCGGUGUAGAGGUGAAAUUCGUAGAUAUUCGCAAGAACACCAGUGGCGAAGGCGGCUCACUGGCCCGGUACUGACGCUGAGGUGCGAAAGCGUGGGGAGCAAACAGG
rnacentral:rRNA from 1 species